rnacentral:rRNA from 1 species
GACGAACGCUGGCGGCGUGCUUAACACAUGCAAGUCGAACGGAAAGGCCCUGCUUUUGUGGGGUGCUCGAGUGGCGAACGGGUGAGUAACACGUGAGUAACCUGCCCUUGACUUUGGGAUAACUUCAGGAAACUGGGGCUAAUACCGGAUAGGAGCUCCUGCUGCAUGGUGGGGGUUGGAAAGUUUCGGCGGUUGGGGAUGGACUCGCGGCUUAUCAGCUUGUUGGUGGGGUAGUGGCUUACCAAGGCUUUGACGGGUAGCCGGCCUGAGAGGGUGAGCGGCCACAUUGGGACUGAGAUACGGCCCAGACUCCUACGGGGGGCAGCAGUGGGGAAUAUUGCACAAUGGGCGGAAGCCUGAUGCAGCAACGCCGCGUGCGGGAUGACGGCCAUCGGGUUGUAAACCGCUUUCGCCUGUGACGAAGCGAGAGUGACGGUAAUGUGUAAAGAAGCACCGGCUAACUACGUG